rnacentral:rRNA from 1 species
AAUGAACGCUGGCGGCGCGCCUAAUACAUGCAAGUCGAGCGAGAAAACGUAGCAAUACGUUUGUAAAGCGGCGAACGGGUGAGGAAUACAUGGGUAACCUACCCUCGAGUGGGGAAUAACUAGCCGAAAGGUUAGCUAAUACCGCGUACGCUUCUUGGACUUCGGUUCAGGGAGGAAAGCGAUGCCGAGGGUAUCGCGCUCUUGGAUGGGCUCAUGUCCUAUCAGCUUGUUGGUGAGGUAACGGCUCACCAAGGCUUCGACGGGUAGCUGGUCUGAGAGGACGAUCAGCCACACUGGCACUGCGACACGGGCCAGACUCCUACGGGAGGCAGCAGUAAGGAAUAUUGCGCAAUGGGCGAAGGCCUGACGCAGCGAUGCCGCGUGGGGGAUGAAGGUC